rfam:Brachypodium distachyon strain Bd21 chromosome 2, whole genome shotgun sequence.
GUGAUACUCCCUCCGUCCCAUAUUAAGUGACUCAAAUUUGCUCAAAUAUGGAUGUGUCUAUACCCAAAAAGCGUCUAGAUACAUGCAAUAUUUCGUCACUUAAUAUGGGACUGAGGGAGUAUUAU